rnacentral:rRNA from 1 species
GUCCACGCCGUAAACUAUGGAUGCUAGCCGUCGGCAAGCUUGCUUGUCGGUGGCGCAGCUAACGCUUUAAGCAUCCCGCCUGGGGAGUACGGCCGCAAGGUUAAAACUCAAAGGAAUUGACGGGGGCCCGCACAAGCGGUGGAGCAUGUGGUUUAAUUCGACGCAACGCGAAGAACCUUACCAGCUCUUGACAUGGCCGGACGGUUUCCAGAGAUGGGGAUCCUCCUAGCAAUAGGCCGGUACACAGGUGCUGCAUGGCUGUCGU